rnacentral:rRNA from 1 species
GGUUAAGUUAGAAAGGGCGCACGGUGGAUGCCUUGGCACUAGGAGCCGAAGAAGGACGGGACUAACACCGAUAUGCUUUGGGGAGCUGUACGUAAGCGUUGAUCCAGAGAUUUCCGAAUGGGGGAACCCACUAUCUUUAGUCGGAUAGUAUCCUUACGUGAAUACAUAGCGUGAGGAAGGCAGACCCAGGGAACUGAAACAUCUAAGUACCUGGAGGAAGAGAAAGAAAAAUCGAUUUCCUGAGUAGCGGCGAGCGAAACGGAAAGAGCCCAAACCAAGAAGCUUGCUUCUUGGGGUUGUAGGACACUCUAUACGGAGUUACAAAAGAAAGUUAUAAAUGAAGCGGUCUGGAAAGGCCCGCCAAAGACGGUAACAGCCCGGUAGUUGAAAUGGCUUUCCCUCCAGAGUGGAUCCUGAGUACGGCGGAACACGUGAAAUUCCGUCGGAAUCCGGGAGGACCAUCUCCCAAGGCUAAAUACUCCCUAGUGACCGAUAGUGAACCAGUACCGUGAGGGAAAGGUGAAAAGCACCCCGGAAGGGGAGUGAAACAGUUCCUGAAACCGUGUGCCUACAAGUAGUUAGAGCCCGUUAAUGGGUGAUAGCGUGCCUUUUGUAGAAUGAACCGGCGAGUUACGAUUUGUUGCAAGGUUAAGCGGAAAAAGCGGAGCCGUAGCGAAAGCGAGUCUGAAUAGGGCGCAUAAGUAACAGGUCGUAGACCCGAAACCAGGUGAUCUACCCAUGUCCAGGAUGAAGGUAAGGUAAUACUUACUGGAGGUCCGAACCCACGCACGUUGAAAAGUGCGGGGAUGAGGUGUGGGUAGCGGAGAAAUUCCAAUCGAACUUGGAGAUAGCUGGUUCUCUCCGAAAUAGCUUUAGGGCUAGCCUCGAGGUAAAGAGUCAUGGAGGUAGAGCACUGUUUGGACUAGGGGCCCUUCUCGGGUUACCGAAUUCAGAUAAACUCCGAAUGCCAUGUACUUAUACUCGGGAGUCAGACUGCGAGUGAUAAGAUCCGUAGUCGAAAGGGAAACAGCCCAGACCACCAGUUAAGGUCCCCAAAUAUAUGUUAAGUGGAAAAGGAUGUGGGGUUGCUUAGACAACCAGGAUGUUGGCUUAGAAGCAGCCACCAUUGAAAGAGUGCGUAAUAGCUCACUGGUCGAGUGACCCCGCGCCGAAAAUGUACCGGGGCUAAACAUAUUACCGAAACUGUGGAUGAACCUCUUUAGAGGUUCGUGG